rnacentral:pre_miRNA from 1 species
CAAGGCAAAUAGCUGCAAUCCUUUAUAUUUAUCAAGUAUUGCACUUUUUUGCUUUGAA